rnacentral:misc_RNA from 1 species
AACCAUCAAGUUAGGCUUGUCGUUGGACCCCCCUUUGCAGCUGAAAUAUGCGGCAGGUCCGAAAGAUAAUGACGGUGUCGUGAUCGACCCUAAAUGCAACGAGCUUUUUAUAGCACGCAUUGAAGUGGUCGGCCGACCCAGUCUUUAACCAUUUUCUUAAGGUUGACCUCGGAUCAGGUAGGAAUACCCGCUGAACUUAG